rnacentral:rRNA from 1 species
CCUACGGGUGGCAGCAGUGGGGAAUAUUGGGCAAUGGAGGAAACUCUGACCCAGCAAUGCCGCGUGAAUGAAGAAGGUCUUCGGAUUGUAAAGUUCUUUAGUCAGGGAAGAAUAAAAUGACGGUACCUGAAGAAUAAGCUCCGGCUAACUACGUGCCAGCAGCCGCGGUAAUACGUAGGGAGCAGGCGUUGUUCGGAAUGACUGGCGUAAAGGGUGCGUAGGCGGUUAAACGAGUUAGAAGUGAAAUACCCAGGGGUUAAUUCGGGUGCUGGUUUCAAAACCGGAAUACUUGAGUGCAGGAGAGGUUAGUGGAAUUCCUAGUGUAGCGGUGGAAUGCGUAGAUAUUAGGCGGAACACCAGAGGCGAAGGCGGCUAACUGGACUGCAACUGACGCUGAGGCACGAAAGUGUGGGGAGCAAACAGGAUUAGAUACCCCUGUAGUC